rnacentral:rRNA from 1 species
UUUAUGGAGAGUUUGAUCCUGGCUCAGGAUGAACGCUGGCGGCGUGCCUAAUACAUGCAAGUCGAGCGAACGGACGAGAAGCUUGCUUCUCUGAUGUUAGCGGCGGACGGGUGAGUAACACGUGGAUAACCUACCUAUAAGACUGGGAUAACUUCGGGAAACCGGAGCUAAUACCGGAUGAUAUUUUGAACCGCAUGGUUCAAAAGUGAAAGACGGUCUUGCUGUCACUUAUAGAUGGAUCCGCGCUGCAUUAGCUAGUUGGUAAGGUAACGGCUUACCAAGGCAACGAUGCAUAGCCGACCUGAGAGGGUGAUCGGCCACACUGGAACUGAGACACGGUCCAGACUCCUACGGGAGGCAGCAGUAGGGAAUCUUCCGCAAUGGGCGAAAGCCUGACGGAGCAACGCCGCGUGAGUGAUGAAGGUCUUCGGAUCGUAAAACUCUGUUAUUAGGG